rnacentral:rRNA from 1 species
GACGAACGCUGGCGGCGUGCUUAACACAUGCAAGUCGAACGGUAAGGCCCUUCGGGGUACACGAGUGGCGAACGGGUGAGUAACACGUGGGUGAUCUGCCCUGCACUUCGGGAUAAGUCUGGGAAACUGGGUCUAAUACCGGAUAGGACUCCGGACUGCAUGGUCUGGGGUGGCACGCUUUUGCGGUGUGGGAUGGGCCCGCGGCCUAUCAACUUGUUGGUGGGGUGAUGGCCUACCAAGGCGACGACGGGUAGCCGGGCCGGAGAGGGUGACCGGCCACACUGGGACUGAGAUACGGCCCAGACUCCUACGGGAGGCAGCAGUGGGGAAUAUUGCACAAUGGGCGCAAGCCUGAUGCAGCGACGCCGCGUGAGGGAUGACGGCCUUCGGGUUGUAAACCUCUUUCAGCAUCGACGAAGCGAAAGUGACGGUAGGUGCAGAAGAAGGACCGGCCAACUACGUGCCAGCCGCCGCCGUAA